CUGCACGUCGCCUCCCUCACAGUUUCCCGACUCUCGUUUUCCGCAAGGAAUGUCUAUCGCAGACCCCCCUCCCAGGCUGUCGGACACAAUAUGCCGCUCCCGAGCCUGUAUCAGGACCUCGUUGUAUGCCGCACUCCGAUUUAUUGUGCCCCUCGCCGUCGGCAACUCGGCCACAGACGGCACGGCCCAGCGGGGGGAACGAGUUUCGGAACUUAACCCUAAGUAUAUACCUGGUUCAAGUUUGCGCCAAGUCGUUCAAACCAUCUUCUAUGUCGACUGAGCACUCCACGAGGCUACUCCCGCUGAAAAGCGGGGUGGCUUACCUGGGCCUUUGUUGACGGACUGAUGGGGCGAACUGUCCAGUCACCUUGUGGUGCGCGAGAGGAAGGAUGCCAUGAGCCGGUUUGGUAAGAGCCUCUGGUCCGAGGACGCUCGUCUGCCCUUCCACUGGAACUUGGACGUUGGUCAAGAGUAGACCGUCUCAUGGAUGCUGCCGGCUUCGAGCACGCAGAGCUUGCCGUCUACUAUGGACAGCACAAAGGGUCGCGUGGCUCGACCUCGACAAUGGUGAUGGACAGAGAUGGGCUCAGGAUCGGCCACAUACUGUCAGACAUGGCGUUUCAAAGACCAGCUUCCAGGAUCUUGCCUUGUCGGAAACACCCCGGAAUUGUGCUGGCGGUGUAACGGGGAUCUCCUGGACACACACAGAAACGCCUUGUCUGACUCGACACGCUGCCAUCCGGAGGGGCUCUCGGCUCUCUCGAACUCAUUCAUUGUCUGUACCAUCUGUCCGCAGAGACAUCAGUGCUGGCUCUGCUUAUUUGCUGCAAUGCUCCUGAGACCUCACCUCGGCACCCAGCCAUCGGUGUGUGAUGCAGCUGCAUCUGGUCUGACCAGGCGCAUUAACCUUCCAUUGCCGGAUUACUACCGCGAUGUCUGAAGGACGCCAGUCACCUGUCGGCAUCCGCAAGGACGUUGACAACUCCCUCGGUGUGCUCCCGAAAGGGAGAGGCCGAGAUGAAAGCGCGGGUUUUCCGGAUGUCUUUUGUCCGCGCGUGAAAGCCCUCCUUGCUCGCUCUUACAAGAGCAUGUUGGAGAGGAUACAAAAACAAUCCUUGUUGGCAGUGCGACACAUACAGAAGGAGCUUUUGUUACCAGCACUCGGGGCUCUUUUUCGCUGUUCUCGACUCUCUGGCGACCGUGUCUACGAAAGCGCUGGAUGCUCAGUGGAUGUUGGCCUAGGAACCCGAAUUUGAUGGCCAACAGCUAUUUUCUGGAGGAUGAAGCUUGUCAGUCGGAAGCAGUGUCGGGACCCAUCUCGAGUUGGAGUCAGAGUUUCGUACUUGUCUGACACUGCGGAUGGCAAGACGACGUGGCAAUCCCUCAGCCUUGCGUUGGACAUCAGACUGGGAGCUCAAAUUAUUGGAUUUCAAGGGCAGGCCGUUUGGAAGAGGUAGCCCUGGUUGUCCUCGUGCCAGAAAUGGUAGGAGGACACCCCC
rnacentral:telomerase_RNA from 1 species